rnacentral:rRNA from 1 species
UUUACAAUGGAGAGUUUGAUCCUGGCUCAGGAUGAACGCUAGCGGCAGGCUUAAUACAUGCAAGUCGAGGGGGAUUAGUUGUCUAGCAAUAGAUG